UUUGAAGUAUGUGUCAAAGGAUAGUGGUUGGGGGUAUGGGUAUUUGUUCCAGUUUCUCAGAAAUGUCUUGUGUAGUGCAAUCUCAUGAAAUUUCUUAAAAUGAAAGUUUAAUCUGAGAAUGGUAGACCUCUAUUUGGGUAAGAAAAAAACAUGUCUUGGCCCAUCGGGCUGUAAAUAAGUAAUAGUAAUCAUUGCUCCCAUCACCAUCUCUUGCACAGCAAUGGGCUGUGUGGCAAUGUACCUUCCACAGAUGGCCAUAUUUAAUUGAAAGUCAUGCCCAGCAGCUGCCAGAAAUGCUGACUACUAGACUGGGAAAAGUACUGCCAAAUGGGAGGAAUGCAGACAAGUUCUGUGGCAAAAUGAUAGAAAUAUAUAAAAUAAAAUGACUCUCUUUAUUCUGCUCAAGCAGAAAAGGAAAGUACCAGCAUACUUGGACUUUGUAGUUCAAUUUCAUAACACCGAGAUGAUGAAGAGAGUUGCUGCCCUCGGGGCAAGGGAUAAGGCAAAGAUGCAAAUAUUUCUAAAAUAAAACAGGCCAUGGAAAGAGGGCUAUUCUAUGCUUGGAAAAGAACCCCAAGCCCCGCAUGAGAACCACAACUAUGGCCAACUCCUUGAUUUCAGCCCAGUGAGAUGCUGAGCAGAGAAUAUAGUUAUGCCAGGCUUGGACUUGUGAUUUAUGGAAAUUCUGAGAUAAUAAAUUUGCAUCAUUUUGACCCGCUCAAUUUAUGGUGAUUUUUUUACACAACACCAGGAAACGAAUACAAUGCAUUACAAUGGUUGAUUUUUGAAUGCCAAAUCAACCUAGGAUAAGCCCUAUUUGGCCAUGAUGUAUUAUCCUUUUAUAUACGUUGAAUUGGACUUGAAAAAUUUUGUCAGAACUGUUUGUAUGUAUUCAUGAGGGAUGUGGCUUGAAGUGAAAGAAGAAAUGUCAAGGAGAAAGAAAUGGAAGAUGAGAGAGGAACACAUGACAGAUGAGAGAACAAUUUAAGUAGAGGUGGGAAAAUGUCAGAAUACAUUUCAAAAACUAUCCAGUGGGGUUUUUUUUUUUUGUUUUUGUUUUAAGAUUUUAUUUGUUUAUUUUAAAGAGAGAGUGUGUACAUGCACAAGUAUGAGCAGGGGGAGAAGCAGCAGGGGGGCAGAGGAAGGGGAAAGAAUCUUGAGCAGACUCUGCGCUGAACAUGCAGCGCAACUCGGGGCUUUAUCUCAAGACUCUGAGAUCACGACUCUGAGAUCAUGACCUGAGCCAAACCCAAGAGUGCUUGCUUAACCAACUGACCCAACCAGGUGCCCCAGCAAUACAGCCUUUAAUUUGGCUGGAUAACCACAGAUAGGAAGUCCAGUGGUAGGGAAUGCAGCUGGAAAACUAAGGAGCGAAAUGUUUGCUUAAUUUGGGAGAUGAAGUCGAGCCAUUGAAAGUCAUUGAGGGAUAUAACUGGAUGAUUGAGCCACGGUGUGUAAUUUAAAGUGCCCCAGGAAGAACCUGGAAGACAGUCGGGAAGCUCUUGAAAUUUUCUGGUUAGAAGUCACUAGAGCCUAAACUUGGGCAUGGUCAGGGGGAGGAGAGGAAGCGAGAGACAGAGGAAGAGAUCACGCUCUUAGCAUUCAGCCUAGAUGUUAGAUUGGCUCCACUCCCUCUUUGGACACCUGAAGAACAUCAGCAGGACCUACUCCAUCAUCUGGUGAUUGGAAUCAAGCACUGAAGGCAAACCUGAAAACUACUGAUCACCUGCAGGUUGGGGUCCCUAUGUUCCUGCUGGAUCCAGGCCUGGCUGGUUGGCUCCAGACAGGACACAGUUGAUAAUGGUGGCCCAGGAGGCCCAACCCAGAAGAACUCCAAGAAACCAGUUUGAGUCUGCUGUCCAUUCUGGGAUGGUAGGUGGUUCAGCUGAAUAAAUGAAACAUGGGGGAAGUGACAAGGGGGCUGAGGGAGGAGAACUGUGCUCACUCAGGAGGGGCUUGAAGCAUCUCUCUUGGGUUUGUGGUCCCAAUGCAGGAUAAGAAACAGAGGCAGACAGGAAGGACUUUCCUGGAGGGAGGCCAUCACCACGCUGGAAGCUUAUCCUACCAUAGAAGUUACAGAGAAGCCUCGGGGAAAUAUAGCAUGUUGGGCAUUUAUUCUUGAUCCUUUGCUGCAUGCAAUCUCCUGAGGAGAGGCCCUCUAUUUGUGAGAACACUGGGCAGUCACCCCAGAAUGUCCUCCUGGGAGCUGCCCUCUAAAUUCAUUCUUUCUCCAAGAAGAUAGCUUUUAUUUUCACAGCAGAGGCAGGUUCCUCUAAUGAGAUGCUGGCUUUUCCUGGGAGGGGAUUAGUACAUCAGCUUAUCUGACCAUCUCUGUAGGGGCACAGAUAACCCUAGAAAGUGAAAAAAUAAUGGGCUGGGUGGACUGAUGAGGAGAGGUAAGAACACAUCGGAGAUAUUGGGCCAAAGAAGUGAAGAAGGGGGUUGUGAGGGUACUGGGGGUGGCGUUGGCACAGGAUGAGCCCCCAAUUCACAACUUUGCUCCAAGCUCGCUCUGCAGCUUUAUGUAACACUCCCUCAUGUUCCCUUCUGUGGAGGCUUUGAAUUAUAUCCACGGAUUCUUUGAUCAGCCAUCCUUCGAUUGGUGGAGGGAACUUAAUUCUCCUCCUCUUGGUGAUGGGCCAGACUUAGUGACUACUGGUGGACAGAGUAUGGCAGAAAUAACUGUGUUACUUCCCAGAUGGAGUCAUGUGCCUUUCAUCUUGGUCACUCUCUUUAGGAUCACGUGCUCCAGGGGAAGCCAGCUGCCAUGUCAUGACAAGAGGCCCAUAUGACAUGACACUGAGACCUCCUGUCAACAGCCAUGUGAGUUCAGCCACCAUAGAAGUGUGUCCUCCAAACCCAGUCCAGCCUCAAACUGACUGCGGCCCCUGUUGACACCUGACUGACCCUGAGUAGAACAGUCCUGUUGAGCUGCUCUCAAACUCCUGACCUAAAGAAACUGAGAUAAUACAGCACCAGGUCUAGCUUGAAAAUGUUUGAAUAAAUGAAUGAACAGACCCAAUGAUGACUAUCACUCCCUGAGAUCCUGAAACUCCAAAGUUACCUGCUCACUCAACAAUCAAGUAUGGAGUGCCCACCAAGGUUCAGGUUCAGAGCCAUCUGCUUGGGAAUCAGGAUGCAUACAUCUUGGUGGGCCUUACCUUCAAGAACCCAUAAAGACUCUUCUUGGAGCCCAGCCACCAUGUGCAGAAGCCUAACCAGCCACAUGCAGAGGCCCACGUGCAAAAUUGAAGCCUGUGCCUGAAAACGCCACAGAGCUCCCAGAUGGCAACCAGGAUCAGCUAUCAACUAUGUAUCCUAAGUUUUAAAAAGGAUUCUGUUGCCCCGUUGACAUGAGACAUGAACAGCAAGUAGGUACUGGGAGAUUUGGGAAAUGGGAGAGGAAGACUAAUUUAUUACAGGCAAGAAUGAGGCGAGCGACUGCCCGCUCUGAGCGUCUGGUAUGUGCUGUGUUGACACACAGUCUUCUCAACAGCUCCGUGAGCUAGGUUGUGCUACCUCCGCAGAUGAGGGAACUGUGAUCCAGCAGUCUCAAGUCCUGUGCCUCAAGGGACACAGCUGGUAAGUGGCAGAUUCGGGAUGCCAGGCACUUUGGAGUGACCUCAGCCUCUGUUCUCUUGACGUGUAUAACCCAAGACCUGUCUCUCAGUUGUGCUUGAUGAAGGAUGUUUUCGAGUUCUCUGAUAAGAAGGGAAUUGGAAGCCAAUGCAUUAUAUCAUUCCAUCACAUACAGCACGUCCUACAUCAUGUGUCAUCUCAUACCAGGGGUUGGUUGGGUAUGAUUAAGCAAUGCAGUGGUCUUUCAAGCAUGCAGAUUUAGCUACUUUCCCCUCCUCCUUUUGUUGUCUACACACAUUCCUCAGUGUAUAUCCUCUGGGUGGAUAUCUGCCAGGCCAUUGAAAUCAAGGUUGGUUUCUUAAGCAGGUGAGCAGUGCCCUUAAACUGAGGUUGGUUUGGCAAGAGUUGUUUGGAUCUGCUACAUAUAUCAUGCCUGUCCAUUCUGUCCUCCUCUGUCCUCAGAACCUCCUGGAGUACCACGGGCAGAGCCCCAGCUGCAGCCCGGAGAGGAAAAGGACUUGUCCUAGUCAGUAGGCGUUAAGUCUGGUACCACAGGCCCAGUUUCCUGAUUCUCGUUUGCAUGUUUCGCAAUGCUCCUUUUGUAUAGGUGGGAUGCAUUUUUUUUACCCAGGCCUAGUGCUGAUUUCAAGAGCAGAGUUGGGAGGCUUUAGCCAGCCCCUCUUCUUCAUCUCUAUCAGCACCCCAUCCCCUGCCCCACCUCUUAUUUUGUCAUGAACAGCUGAUGUUUCAGGUAAAUUCUGUACAAUCAAAGGAAGCUGGGGUCCCUAAGCCCACCCCUUCCCAACCAACAAGCAGCUUAAAUCCUUCCUGUAUAGAAAUACCGGAGCCACUAGUUAGUCCAUGUAUCUGUCUCUUCUAGGAGACUGUCAGGUUUUUCACCAAGGGCAGAAAAUAGAACCCCCCGCCCCCUUUUCUCUAAUGUCCCCAAAAGUAUAAUGUGGACUCUGCAUAACAUAGUUGCAAUGAGUAUUUGCUUCUGAGCCUGCUGCUGGAGGGGCCAACUAUGCUCAGCCCCAGUUAAGGAUGCUUAUCUAUUUGGAAAUCGGUAUUCCUUGCAUAUCUUCACUAGGACCGGAGUUAAAGGAGUUAAAAGGUAAAAUGACUUAAUUUUUUAUGACUCAUAUCAUGGAUUCCGUCCCUAGACUGUGGAUUCCCUAAGCAAAGCCACCACAUAUUUGCACAUAGUUGCUACUCAGUGUUUGCUGAAUAAAUGACUUAGAAUCUGGAUACGGGAUCCUUAUAGUACCUUAUACGGUACCUAAGGGUAGCACACCUUACUUGAAAAGGAGCCCAGACAUCAUCAGCAUCAUCAGACUGUACUAUCACAGAAGAGUGAGGUUAUUUGAUGUUUUUUUUUUGUUUGUUUGUUUGUUUGUUUUUACCAUUGGAGCGGUAAACAAAUGGAAUUUACAACCCAAUGUAAGGUAUGAAGGCAAUCGUGGGUCACCUCCAUGCCUUUGGCUUUUCACAUUUUAGUGACCUGAAGUCACUCUUAUAAGAAAGGAUAGCACACAUUUCAGAAUUGCUGUAGACAUACACUGGGUUGGUUAUCUGCUCAGUUGCUCUUCUCUGGGUAUGGUUCAACCUCCCUCAAACCCCUUCAAACACACAUGCUCACCACACCCCUCGGGGGUCCAGGCAGCCAUGUUUAUGCUAUGACCUGCUCACGUUCACCUGGGAACUUGGAAUUUGAAAUACAGAGACACAAAGAAAAGAGCUUGUCUAGGGAGGCAGGCCCAUUAAUGGCAGCCCCCCUGGAGGGGAAGUCCACCCAUGUACGAGUGCACACGCAUGCACGCACACUCUGACAGAGUAAGAGAUAGACUCAGAAAACUCCAUAGUUCUCAGGAAUAAAUACAUAGAAUCUGAAAGUGAGUUCAUCUUUUCUCCCUGUUGCUUUCUGCACCUCCAUUUCUAGUAUAAUAAGAUACAAUAAAGCUUGUAUUUUAUUUCAUAUUUUGAGCACUUCUAGAAGCCCAUGGAAGGGAAGAAUGUACUUACCUUUGUAUUUCCCUCAGGCCUAACCAAUCCCUGACGCUCCUCAGGCCCUCAAUGAACGUUGAUGUCGUUGAAAUAAUUUGAUUGACUGUAUUGACAAAAACAACAAAUUUAUACGUUUCGGGGGGUAAACUUAAAACUCUACUCACAUCCAAUAACCUGUCUUUGUGUUUAGAUAUUAUGUUGUGAUUUAAGAAGCAAGUAUCUAUUAAAGAAGUACUCAUGCUCUAGCAAGAACAAGAUGAAAGGGGAGAUCCUUCUCUGCCCUCAGAACCUGCUGGCUCCAGAACCCCACAGGGGAUACACAGGAAAGGAUGCAGAGAGCAAUUGGGGCCUGCCGUUCAUGGAUAUACCCCAAGCAGACCCUCUUCGGGGUCUAGGCUGACAUACUGAGCUUUUGAAACAGCUCUUUGGACACAGAGUUGAGAGGCUUUGGGAAGAGUUGAGAAUGAGCUGGCGGUUAGGAAUCUGAGCAGAAGGAGGUAGGUGUGGAGGAGGACAGCUCGCCCCUGAGGAGACAGUUGGUAGAGUCCUUUGGUGAGUGCCUACAGGCCAGCAGCCUCCUGUCUGAAGGGUUAGUUUGCUGCACCGGCCACCCAAAGUCAGUCAUGAAGGAUUGGGGAUGGUCUUGGUGAGGUGGGGAAGGGCGCAGUGCCUUCAGGGUGUGGACACCCACCUCCCUGCACCCUAUAUCAGGUGUCCCUCGGCUAGUGCCCUUGUUCCUGCUCUCUGGGCGGCCUCGCUCUGGGAAAGAGCUGUGGAGUAUUGACACACAUGCGAAUGUGGUUGCAUCUGAAGAUCUUGAACAUUCAAAUGCCUUCUCUGCUGGAAAACUUGGAAAGAGGUUGGGCAGAGGAGAGGGGAAUGGACCCAGAGAGCUUAAAAAAUGUUUUUACAAACCCGUAUUUGCUACACUAAAUAUGUACAUGGUGUAAGCGGGCCUUGCACUUUGGGGUGGGGGGUUCCAUUCAAGUUUUAGGAUUUCAGUGAUAAGAGAAUACAUACUUAAGUUCUUUUUUGCUGAUCAAUGUUCUUUUAUGAUAUCUCUGCUCUCUUGUCUCUAUCGUUGUCUUAGGAAAACUUCUUAAAGGUGUCAUUUUUAGGGGCUCCUUGGGUGGCUCAGUUGGUGAAGCGUCUGCCAUCAGCUCAGGUCAUGAUCUCCUGGGAUCGAGCCCUGUGUCGGGCUCCCUGCUCAGCAUGGAGUCUGCUUGAAGAUUCUCCUCCUCGGCCCCACCCCUCACUCGUGCUUGCACGUGCACACGCUCUCUCUAAAAUGAAUGAAUGAAUAAAUACAUCUUUUUUAUGUAUUUAAAAUAAAAUUUCAUCUUUCAUUACAUGUAUUUCAUCGUUAUAUUUUUA